UAUUGUAGGUGGCUGCGACGUGGAAAUCAACAUAUUGGCAAUGAUGAUCUUAGAGUUUUCCGUCGCAAAUUGGAUCUAAUGAAACAACAUGAGGUAAGAACAUCGUAAUGUAAUGGUUAAAUGAAAUUUUAAUAUGUUAUGUUUGAUUGAAAAUUGACAAGUGUGUUGUUAUAUGCAGUUUGUCUGGGAACCAUACACAACAAUUGUGAUGGCAGCGUUGCCUCCAAUUUGUGUGGUUGGAAGUGUAGUCUGGUUUGCGGUGGUGCCACUGAUUUGUUUCCAUGUUGUUGAGUGACACCAACCUGA
rnacentral:pre_miRNA from 1 species